rnacentral:rRNA from 1 species
AUUGAACGCUGGCGGCAGGCCUAACACAUGCAAGUCGAACGGUAACAGGAAGCAGCUUGCUGCUUUGCUGACGAGUGGCGGACGGGUGAGUAAUGUCUGGGAAACUGCCCGAUGGAGGGGGAUAACUACUGGAAACGGUAGCUAAUACCGCAUAACGUCGCAAGACCAAAGAGGGGGACCUUAGGGCCUCUUGCCAUCGGAUGUGCCCAGAUGGGAUUAGCUAGUAGGUGGGGUAACGGCUCACCUAGGCGACGAUCCCUAGCUGGUCUGAGAGGAUGACCAGCCACACUGGAACUGAGACACGGUCCAGACUCCUACGGGAGGCAGCAGUGGGGAAUAUUGCACAAUGGGCGCAAGCCUGAUGCAGCCAUGCCGCGUGUAUGAAGAAGGCCUUCGGGUUGUAAAGUACUUUCAGCGGGGAGGAAGGGAGUAAAGUUAAUACCUUUGUUCAUUGACGUUACCCGCAGAAGAAGCACCGGCUAACUCCGUG